CAGACGACCGCCUACGCGUUCGGCAGCGGUCGUGUCCGCGCGAGUUGCCAGCCACAGCGGCCGGGCCCGGCGCCCGCCGCGCACGCUUCACCUACGCGAGCCGCGACGCGCGACACGGUUAACAAGGUCGCUAGCCCAAAGCGACUCAAACUCAACUCAACUCGGACCGCCGACACGUUUCCGAUAGAUGAGAUCUACGGGGCCACGACAAGAUGGCAUCUUUCAAAGACUGGCUCACAGUAACAUGGGCCCAGAGCGGGAUGCAACUUCAGCCAGACGCAGAAGGAGACGACUCUCUCAGGGGACGGU